rnacentral:rRNA from 1 species
UACGUAGGGGGCAAGCGUUGUCCGGAUUUAUUGGGCGUAAAGAGCGUGUAGGCGGCCAGACAGGUCCGUUGUGAAAACUCGAGGCUCAACCUCGAGAUGUCGAUGGAAACCGUCUGGCUAGAGUCCGGAAGAGGAGUGUGGAAUUCCUGGUGUAGCGGUGAAAUGCGCAGAUAUCAGGAAGAACACCAAUGGCGAAGGCAGCUCGCUGGGACGGUACUGACGCUAAGGCGCGAAAGCGUGGGGAGCAAACAGG